CUUCUCCUAUCAUUGCUCGCAGCUGAAGGAUCGCCUCUUGAGCCGAAGUCUGCAGCUCCUUCACCACCUACAGACGGAGGAGGAGGAGGUGUGCUGUCAGUGAAUGGCCAUACAUUAAGCAAUCCAGGACUCAUGUGCUCCCUGCAGACCGGAUGUCUGCCUGUCCGGAUGUUUACAGGAUUUAUGGGACUUGAAGUCCACUUUUUCCCCUCAUCCUGUGUUAUUUUGGCACACUGCACUGUCUCCUCAGCGUCCGCAUUGUUGUCGACCAGGAACUUCAGCAGACGGUCCUCUGGUGGGAGGGAGCUAUUCCCUUUUACUAUGGAUGGAUAACUGUGGCCAAGACAGACAUUCAGAUAGCCUGAGAAAAGUCUGACAUUUAUUUCAAAAAUAGUUAUACUGGCAAAAAGUAUCUGUUUUAUUAUUCACGUUGAUGUAUGCCAGAAAUAAUUAAAAUGAAUCGAUCUGAUAAAAACUAAGAAUGAAAGUGAAGUAACAAGAAGAACAGUGACUAGUUAUUGUACUUCUGUUUUUUAAGUGGCUGUCU